ensembl:lincRNA
UUCUUAUAUCCAUGGCAACCAAGACCACUGUAAUUGGUCUAUGUCUGGAAUCAGGAGGCCUGGUUCUAGCCCAAGCACAGUCUCCAGCUUAAGGAAUGACCUUAAGCAAGCACUUCUUCCCUCAGGGCAACAUUUAAAAAAAUAAGAAGAUUGGAUUGAUCAACAUUUUACUGCCUGUAUUUCACAGGACAUUCUCCUUUUAAUAUAUUUGCUUGAACCUUCUUGAAAACAGGACUCCACGGACAAAUAAGGGUGCCUCUGCAGCAGCAAAUGUGGCUGUUCAACAAUCUGAAGUCUUUGAUUGUGAACAGUGCUAACCAGCCCUGGGAAAGAAAAGCAGCUCUCUUCCCUGCUCUCCAGGGCUAGCAGAUGAACACUGUGGGGUCGAGCCCAGUCUGGCCAGAGCAAGUCCAGGAAAAGGUGCUUCUCACUCUUCAGGGCACUGCUCAGAUCCCCAAGCAUAAUUUUGGAAACUCUGAUCCAGAACCCUGGAUUGCAGGUCUAACACCAGCAAUAUUUACACACCGAAGGCACGAGUAUGGCCAUUUGGGGGGCUGUGAUAUUGUUAUUGAGGAGUUUUCCAGAGAUAACUAGACAAGAGCUAGAAAACAAUGGAAGGAACUUUAGAAGCUCACAGUGAGGAACGAGAUAAGAACUUCUACAGGAGAGAAGGAUGCAUGAGGCCAGACAGAAAAUUUGGCUGUUAAGAGGCACCAGCUUUCCCAGUGACUACUCUGGUGGACCCUGACAAGAGUAAGUUUGUAGUUUCAGAAACUCCACACUCUCUUCUGUUUGCCAUCUUUGUGAAUUUGUUCACGAGGAGACGGUUUUGGAGAUUUUUUUUUCAUGACUAGAUUCUGAGUAUUCUCUCAUCUUAAGGACAGUCCUGUCCUUAAAUCCACACAUCUGGAAAGCAGAAUUAGCUCCCAAGGAUGCUUGAUGAGGAAAUAUGGAAACACAGGAGACCAUUUCACCAAGGCCAAAGCAGCUCCAGUUCCUCUUUUGUGGUCAUAGAGAGGAAGUCCGGAGUCAUAGAAAUUAUCCUGGCUUAGAAUCAGAGAGACUUGGAUUCAAAUUUUGGCUCAGAAGCAAGUUAUCUAACCAUUUUGGCUUUGCAUUUAACAUUUGUAAAAUGGAAAGAACAAUAUCUACCUAAAAGGACUGUUCUGGGUGUUAUACAUAGUUAAUAACUUAUUUAUAUUUAUUACACAUGAAUGUAUUAAUACCAGGUAUUAUGUUAAAUAUUGGGGAUGAAAUUGUGGGCAAAGCAGAUAAGAGUCUUGUUUCAAAAAAGCAUAUGUUCUAGUAUGGGAAAUGUCUUCGUUCAUUUUGUGUUGCUGUAACAGAAUACCUGUGGCUGGGUAAUUUAUAAAGGAAAGAGGUUCAUUUGGCUCACAGUUCUGUGGGCUGGGAAGUUCAAGAGCAUGGGUGCUGGAUUCUGGUGAGGGCUUUCCUGCUGUGUCAUAAUAGUAGCAGUUCAAAGGGGGAGUCAUAUUUGAAGGAUCCCAACAUUCAAGAUGUCCUUGCUUUAUAAACAAGUUGCUCUUGCAGGAAUGGAUCAAGUCUAAUGAGAGAAAGAACUCAUUAUUGCGAGAACAGCACCAAGCCAUUUAUGAGAGAUCUGUCCCCAUUACCUAAACACCUCCCAUUAAGCUCCACCUCUUAAAGGUUUCACCUCCUGACAUUGUUACCUUAGCAAUUAAAUUUCAGCAUGAGUUUUGGCAGGGACAAAUCACAUUCAAACCAUAGCAGGAAGAUAAACACUCAUCAAAUAAUCACAUGAGUAUAUACUAUAUCUUUACAAUAUAAUUACAUGCUAUGUAAAAUUACAGACUGUGAUAAGUUCAGGAAAGGAGAGUAAAGGUGAGGUGAUUUUUAAAGUAUACUUGCAUUUUUUUUGAUGUGUUCCUCUCCCUCUUUUUAGAAUAAGGUAGAAUCUAAUUCCUCUCUGAUUAGAUAUGAUCCAGUCUUAGUGACUCACUUCUGACAAAUAGAAUAUGGCAGAAGUGGUGCUAUGUGGCUUCUGAGGCUAAUUCAUACAGAAGGAUACAGCUUUCUUCCAUACACUCACUUGCUCCUCUCUCUCUUUCUCUCCUUCAAUGCUUAACUUUGAGAUCAAGUCAACAGGUUGUGAGGAAGCCUAGGAAAUAAGGAGAGUCCUAUGUAGAGAAGAACUGAGGCUUCUUGACAACAGCCAACACCAACGUGCCAGCUACAUGAGUGAGCAGUCUUUAAGUGGAAACUCCAGUCUUAAUCAGACCUUCAGAUAAUGCAUUCCUCGCUGACCUCUGCAAUCUCAGGAGAGACCACAAGCCAGAACCACUUAGCCAUGCCAUUCCCAAAUGCAGAAGCUGUGAGAAAUAAUAAAUGAUUAUUACUGUUUUAAGACAUUGAGUUUUAAAGAGAUUUGUUACCCACCAUUAGACAACUAACACAAUAGAAAACCAGGAGAUAAAGUCUGAGGGAUCAGUAAAGACUUUCUUGAUGAAAUAACAUUUGAACUUAUAACAGGAAGAGAGGAAUUAAUUAGCUCAAGAAGAGGGAGAAGUAUUCUAAGGAGCUAUACCAACACAAACAAGGGCCCUGUGGGCAAAUGAUAAAUUUGAGAAAUUAGGAGUUAUCUAGUUUGGGAAGAACACAGUGUUGGGAGGGAGAGGUGCAAGAUGCUUGAAAAGGUGUUAGGGGUAGGGGAGGGUUAGAUCAUUAAGGGCCUUAGAAAGGACUUAUUUUCUAAACAUGAUAGAACAUUCUUGAAGGGUAUUUAUCAGGUAGGGAGGUAUCAAGCCUAACAUUCUAGGUUUCUGCUGAUUUCCCAGAGAUGGAAACACUGGAUGAGAACCAAGUUUACAGUGGAAGAUUAUGGUUUUGGACAGGUUGCUUGAGAUACUUUUGAGAUACCCAGAUGGUGGUAUCAUGUAAGAGAUCAGAUAUACACAUCUGGAGUUCCAGAGAGAGAGAGAGAGAGAGGGAUCACAUGUGCAUGUUUGGAAGACAACAGCGAAAAAAUAAUAAUUGAAACCAAUGGAGUGAACGAGCUCAGCUGGAGACAGGAUAUAAAGUGAAACUAGAAGAAAGCCUAAGAUCCAGAAUUACAAAAUUCAUGGCUCGCUAGAGGGGACCAGGUCAGCUAAGCAAAAUGAGAGAGAGCAGCCAGAGAAGUAGGAAUUAAAUGAACAGAGUGUCUCAGGGAGGUGGUGGUUAAUAAUGUCAAAUAAUACAAGUAAGAUGGUAGAUGAAAGGCCUACUGAACUAACUACACUCAUGAAAGGCUAGAACGACCACUGUUUGAAUGCAAUUCCUGAUGGGUGCAGAAGCCCAAUUGGAGAGGGUUGAGAAAUAAGUAGGAGGUAAAUAAAUGGAGGCAAUGAGGCCAGACAAUUCCUCUCAGAAGUUUUGCCAUGAAAGGGAAGAGAGAGGACAGUAGCUGGGCAUG